ACUUUUUUCUUCGGAACAUAGUUCUAUCUAAUAUUUUUCACGAGAUCAUAUAAUAAUAACACAAUAUUUAAUUUAAAAGAAGUUUUAGCCAUCGUCUAAUUAUACAAUUUCGAAAGUUAUAAAAUGGACACCUGUUGGCAUAUUCGGACUAAUGAAUUGAAGGGCAAUCACGCUGUCCUUACACCCCUGGAGGACAUGUCAGCUGGUCGAGGGCAAGCAGGUGGGGGGCCUCCCCCUAAUUGUCAGAAAGUUUUCAUACAACGUGACUACAGUGAAGGGACUAUGGUUAAAUUUCAAACACAGUUCCCUAUAGAAUUAGAAACCAGACUAGAUAGACAGACGUUUGAGUAUACGAUCAAUCAAUUGAACAACUACUUCGCGGAAGCUGAGAGAGCCACUUGUUCGACGUACUGCGAAGGUUGCUUGGCCUGUCUCACUGGUUACCUAAUAUAUAUAUGUACAGAGACUCAUUACGAAAAGUGUCUACGUAAAGUGGCAAAGUUUGUUAGUGAACAAAACGACAGAGUCUAUAAACCACGCGGGCUAUUGUUAACAGACCCAACAAUGCGAGGUCUUAGGCUAAUAGAAAUUUCAGUACUGGACAGACCCGCGUCGUGACUGCACAUUAGCCGAUCCAGAGAGUUCUUUAUGUGAUCCAUGCACUCCUACCAUUUUGACAGGAUUGCAAACCCUACAUGAGCCGAUGCGUGUCUCUGGACCUAAUUAUGUUCAGUACCGACGAUUUUGAUUUAGUUUGUCUGAUAUGAACUGUACAGAGAGAUGCAGAGGUAUCGGAAGGAUUUACAGAUUGUUUUGUGAACAUACAUGCGACGCUGUUGUAAAUACUUUGAAGGAAAGUUGACUUGUUCCAUAUUGUCAGUGUAUAGAAAUCAAUUCUCUCGUUAGGAGAAGACUUCGUAUUCUGCUGAUGUGGAUUCAUUAGUGGGGUGUAAAGUUUUACGACACUUUGUAAGACUUACCAUUUUGAAAUCACAAGUUCAAACGCAUUCACACAGGGUUUAUCUCUAAACAAGGAUACGCUUACUGUUCAUUUUGCAUGUAUGUUUUGAUCAAUUGGAAUUAUAUCCUGUGUCUACAUCCCAAGGCCAUGGCGUUAUAUAAGUUGAAUUUUAUAUGCAUACAAUAACAUACCAGUGUAAAACGACAGGAUUAUGCAAAGAAACGAGGCGUGUACGUAUGUAUAUGUGCUGGCGGAGAGCUUGCACGUUUUCCUCGUUAAACGAGUGAGAUGCGACAAUUCACGUAACUCGUACACAUCGUUUCUUGUCAUAUCGGACGAGGUUUAAACAGUGCUUUUUUAACUGUACAUUCAAAGACUUUAUGGACAUCUGCAUUUAACAGACGACGCGAGAAACAAAUAUACGCACCACUCUGUUCUUAAGGGUGAACAGGCUUGGUCGUAAAUUUGAUUCGCUAUCUCCGUCAAGUACUGAAAAACGAUUUUAUUUUGGUGUUAACAAGUUUUAUGCUUCGUAUAUACGUAUACACAUCUAUUAUUAAGUGAUCCUUAAUUAUCUUCCGUGAUGUAUCUUCCAUGAUGCUUAUGUUCAUGAUCUCACUGCGUGAGAGAUGAUUUUCCUCUUUUUUUCUUGAACAACACGUACGAGCCAGGGAUUCACUUGCCGUGGAUGACACGCCUCAUCGAGAACAAAAAAGAAAGAAUUGGAUCGAAAUUGUUGGCACAAUGCAUUUGCGCUAAGAAGUCUGCUGGAUUGGCUAAGAGAAAUUGUACAAAAAAAACACCCGACAGAGGUGAAUUAUUAGCGAAUUAUAUUCUAUACGAGAAAAAUCGGAUAAAUAUAUCACGUGUGUGUGCAUUGUGAUCAAGGAUAAUGAACUACGAUCGUGUGUCUUGCGGUGCCGCGUGUACAUGUAUAUACAUAUAUAUAUUGAUACAGUUGUAUGCAUGAUCUUUUUAUUUUAUAUUUUUGUACAACAUAUUGUCGAGACUAUGCGAGCGAUUCGUUUGGAAUCUCUAUGCAUACUCCGUUUCUCGUGAUACGGUCUAUUUUUCAAUCUUUUUCGAUUUCAUUCGUUCGAAGGAACAUUGAUCUCAAGCGAAACGCUACGGGACGCUUAUUGCCGAUCAUUUCAUUCAUCCUGUUAAUGUACUAAUCUGUAAUGAUGCUUUUCUUCAACACACGUAUUGUCAAUAUGUCAAAGUUCUCUGAAGUGACGAGAAUUUUGAAAUAUUAAAGUCUAUAAAUAUUAGGUUACAUUGAUAGUAUAUUAGCGCUAGUAUUGGAAUGCUUAUAGAAGGCUAGUGGUAGAGUUACUCUACCACGGUGCUAUAGCCUAGUAUACGUAAGUAGAUUAACCGAUGCCGUAUGUAUACUAGCGUUAAUACGAGGUGAUGACAGAAGGUUAGUGGUAGAGUCACUCCCACUAGUGCUUUAGACUAGAGUUAGUAAUUUGGAAAUUUGGAAAUCUAGAAAUUUAGAAAUUAAAACGAUGGGAGAAGGCUAGUGGUAGAAUUACCACGGUGCUAUCCUCCGAUUAGCUUUAGUGCUUUAUCAAUCACCUACUCAACUAUUCGAACACGGUAAAUAUUUUUUCUACUAGCGCUAUAAUCCAUCAAUGUAACCUAGAUAAUGUUAUUCCUACGGAAUAGGAACGAGGAAGAGUAUCAUUCCAAUCUGUACAACGACAAUGAAACGUUUCGUAAAACGGAUCCGUGGCCAUUACAUACCUGCUACACGGUGUCCAGGUAUAUAUACUUACCUUAUCGCGUGCUAUCUCACGGAGAGAGCAAGAUUCAUUUUUUUCUACUGCGUCAGGAAGUAUUGGGUCUCGUCCUUGGUCACAAUGAGCGCGGAGCCUGUUCCGACGUAAUUAUGCGACAAGGUGAAAGAAUCUUACCAAACAGCCGCGCCACUGCCUCGACAUUUUACUUCUCCUAUGUAUCCAAGAGAGUGUGUGUGUGAGAGAGACAAAGAAAAUCUUGUAAAUUAGUUCAGGGAAAUUAGGAUCCGCGGAGUAAUUUUCAGCGAGCUGUAUUUUUGUAUGAAUUCCGUUGUUUUUCGAUGACAAAACUUUAGCUUGCUAGAAAUUAUUUCGUAGAUUGGUUUUAUCUAAUUACUGGAACUAAGUGGAGACGAAUCUCUCGUGUAAGGAUACUGUAAAAUAAAAAUAUCAUUAGGAACGUGUUCGCCUCGAAUCAUUUGUCGAACAGUGUUCGCAGUGUUACGAGUUACAGGCUCCGUUCAUAUGCAACCGGUAUGUUGCAUAAUGUGUAAAUAGAAAUGAAUCGUCGACACAUGGAAUACCGGGAAAGAGGAAGAAAAAAUAUGCCGUUUGUUAUACUUAAUUUAAUCGUAGGACCAAAACGUUUGAUGAUUCGUUACUGUGUAAAGGACACCAUCGUUCGAGUGUAAUUUCUAAAUGUUUUUAAUAAUAAAAGCAGUGUGAAACCUAUCGGAGCGAGGUGGAGAUGAAAAAAAUGGCUUUGUUUGAAUUUUAUUUCGAACUAGCUCAUUCCACAGGAUGCUGCGACAGGGGAAGAAGUCAAGGUAGAGGGAACCUUUGAGCACAUUCAGAUUUUAUUUAGUCGUGUGCGAUAGUCUCUGACAGCCAUUGUGUACAGCUAUAUCAAAAGACUAGAAACCAGUCUCAUUUGCUGAGUUUAGUUUUAAUCCCUCCGAUUCGAUUUUAAGUUCAACUAUUUUGUGUAAUUUUACUCUUUAGUUAAGAAUUAGAGAAGCUUUUACUAAUAAUUGGCGUGAAUACUGUAGACUAAUAUUGUCACUUUAAUAGUCUGAAUUUAAUACAUGAAAAUUAAUUAUUAAGAACUUAGGAGAAAUAUCGACUCGGAGGGGUUAAAAAAAAAUACACAUUGUAAAGACGUUAAUAUCCGUAGGAUAUUGAUCUUUGAUCUUUACCCUUUCCCAAAAUACCUGUUCUACAAAUUGUUGUACCAGACAAAUUUUCAAGCGACUCUAUCAGCACUUCGUUAACUUUUCAAUUAAAAACUUAUCCGAGGUUCCUACAUCUUUCCCAAGUUUCUUCUUCUUCAAGGUAUCUGAAGCAGAAGGAAACCGAAGGAUCAAUAAAGGAAUAUAGAACGCAAGAAAAAGGAACAUGAGUCACAUCCUUGAGUUCCACUCGAACUUCGAUCCGUACAAAAGCAGACCGACAGAUAUAUCACGUUUUUGCUUCCUGCGUCAGAAACACGAUUUUGGAGUGGCCCCGUGACGCAACGAAUCAUUAAUUCAAUCGGAGGCAUCGCCUUGGAUCCACAUUUGUGGUAUAUAAAAAUGCCCAUCGCUCGGUUACAUCUUAUAAAUCGAGACACACAUCCACAAACACAUCCCUUUCACUCAUCACUC